UACGUAGGGUGCAAGCGUUGUCCGGAAUUAUUGGGCGUAAAGAGCUCGUAGGCGGUCUGUUGCGUCGGCUGUGAAAACCCGCGGCUCAACCGUGUGGUCUGCAGUCGAUACGGGCAGGCUAGAGUUCGGUAGGGGAGACUGGAAUUCCUGGUGUAGCGGUGAAAUGCGCAGAUAUCAGGAGGAACACCGGUGGCGAAGGCGGGUCUCUGGGCCGAUACUGACGCUGAGGAGCGAAAGCGUGGGGAGCGAACAGG
rnacentral:rRNA from 1 species